UACAGAGGCCUCAAGCGUUAGGCGGAAUCACUGGGCUUAAAGCGUGUGUAGGCGGAUGCCUAAGUACCUUGUGAAAUCCCACGGCUCACCCGUGGAACUGCUUGGUAUACUGGGUGUCUUGAGCCACUUAGGGGCUACCGGAACAAAUGGUGGAGCGGUGAAAUGCGUAGAUAUCAUUUGGAACGCCAAUGGUGAAAACAGGUAGCUGGGAGUGUGCUGACGCUGAGACACGAAAGCCAGGGGAGCAAACGGG
rnacentral:rRNA from 1 species